AGAGAUGCACUGGGUGUAAAGCGUGCGCAGGCGGUCUUGUAAGACAGAGGUGAAAUCCCCGGGCUCAACCUGGGAACUGCCUUUGUGACUGCAAGGCUGGAGUACGGCAGAGGGGGAUGGAAUUCCGCGUGUAGCAGUGAAAUGCGUAGAUAUGCGGAGGAACACCGAUGGCGAAGGCAAUCCCCUGGGCCUGUACUGACGCUCAUGCACGAAAGCGUGGGGAGCAAACA
rnacentral:rRNA from 1 species